GACGAACGCUGGCGGCGUGCUUAACACAUGCAAGUCGAACGGAAAGGCCCUGCUUUUGUGGGGUGCUCGAGUGGCGAACGGGUGAGUAACACGUGAGUAACCUGCCCUUGACUUUGGGAUAACUUCAGGAAACUGGGGCUAAUACCGGAUAGGAGCUCCUGCUGCAUGGUGGGGGUUGGAAAGUUUCGGCGGUUGGGGAUGGACUCGCGGCUUAUCAGCUUGUUGGUGGGGUAGUGGCUUACCAAGGCUUUGACGGGUAGCCGGCCUGAGAGGGUGACCGGCCACAUUGGGACUGAGAUACGGACCAGACUCCUACGGGAGGCAGCAGUGGGGAAUAUUGCACAAUGGGCGGAAGCCUGAUGCAGCAACGCCGCGUGCGGGAUGACGGCCUUCGGGGUGUAAACCGCUGUCGCCUGUGACGAAGCGUGAGUGACGGUAAUGGGUAAAGAAGCACCGGCUAACUACGUG
rnacentral:rRNA from 1 species